rnacentral:rRNA from 1 species
UACAGAGGUCUCGAGCGUUGUUCGGAUUCAUUGGGCGUAAAGGGCGCGUAGGCGGCGGGGCAAGUCGGGUGUGAAAUCUCAGAGCUCAACUCUGAAACUGCACUCGAUACUGCUUUGCUUGAGGACGGGAGAGGAGAUUGGAAUUCACGGUGUAGCAGUGAAAUGCGUAGAUAUCGUGAGGAAGACCAGUGGCGAAGGCGGAUCUCUGGACAGUUCCUGACGCUGAGGCGCGAAGGCCAGGGGAGCAAACGGG